UUGCACAAAGUAAGGUUGGUAAACGAGUGAUCUCCGGGAUGAUCCUGUCUCCUUCCAAAUGCAUACGCCAUGGAAUUAUUCAAUUCCCCGUCGGGGCGAACAGAGAAAACCGCAGAGACCUGAAGAACGGUUCACGGAGAGGAGCUUUAAGAGAUUUAAGAAUGGAACAUCUGAAGACAGAAUUUGAACGUCAGCGUCAGAAACAAAGAUUUUUACCACGUGGAUGAGGAUCUACAGAAGAAAAUUCAGAAGUGGGCAUUUCCAGCUGCAUUUCUACCUGCUCUAUCGAGCUCCUGGAGAUGCCCGAAGGGGAAAGCCAUGCUGCUGCUUGGACCACGCAAAGAAAAUCCUCCAGUGAGUAUUUGCUCUGGAGAAUAAUUAGCUAUUUGAGAUCACAGGUCUUUUUUGGUAGAACUAGAGCUCAUCCAAGAGGAUCGCCUCUCUCCUGAUCAGAGUCAUUCCUGGCCAUCGAAAGACCAAGCCUGAACCGUUCGGGCGGAAGCUACCCACGGAACGGAGGGGCUGAUAUAAAAAGAAACGAGACCCAGCUGUGGCCAUAAAACCCCAUCUGAAAUGAAACACAAAAAGCUGAGCUACCGAGACUCCUCGGGUAGGCUGACGGGCCGGGAUCGGAUUUCCAUUCCCCGCAGACCGCCUCCACGGCUUGUCCACCCGAGGUGCUGCGGCGAAACCCUGAAAGGUGUCGGAGGUGAGCCUCGGAGCUUGUUCUCGACGGGGAUCUUGAAUUCGCUCGGGGCCUGGUCCGUUAAGCCCUUUGAAGAGAACAGCCAACCCACCGUCAAGGCAACCGGCUACCGUAGAGAUCCCCAAAAUAGAGAGCUCUGAGUGGUGUAGGGGGAGGAUGGCCACUCGGACAAGUCCGCGUGGGAUGGAUGACCCCAACCUGCAGACCCGGUGAAGGGAGAAUGGGAGUAAUGGAAUCGUGUGGUCGGGGCAUGAGCUGCAAAUCUGGAGUCAGGGCUGAACAAGUUGCGGAAAAACCUACAAACUGGGCAGCUAAGAAAUGCUGUAAGGUCUUCAGGUACCUCGUACUUGCGAGACUACCAGCCCAAAGUGACUCCAAGAUUCUAGAGGUUCACUCCUCUAGAAAGAAGUCUUUCUUAAAAAGAGUCCAAAGGACACAGAGUCAUCUCUUAGCAGUGCCGUCCUGCAGUGUUGCUUUUGAGAAGCAGCAUGACGUAGUGCAUGACCCCGGGCCUGGC